AUACGGAGGGGGUUAGCGUUGUUCGGAAUUACUGGGCGUAAAGCGCACGUAGGCGGACUGAUCAGUUAGAGGUGAAAUCCCAGGGCUCAACCCUGGAACUGCCUUUAAUACUGUCAGUCUAGAGAUCGAGAGAGGUGAGUGGAAUUCCAAGUGUAGAGGUGAAAUUCGUAGAUAUUUGGAGGAACACCAGUGGCGAAGGCGGCUCACUGGCUCGAUACUGACGCUGAGGUGCGAAAGCGUGGGGAGCAAACAGGAUUAGAAACCCCAGUAGUCC
rnacentral:rRNA from 1 species